GUGGGGAAUAUUGCACAAUGGGGGAAACCCUGAUGCAGCGACGCCGCGUGAGUGAAGAAGUAUUUCGGUAUGUAAAGCUCUAUCAGCAGGGAAGAAAGAAAUGACGGUACCUGACCAAGAAGCCCCGGCUAACUACGUGCCAGCAGCCGCGGUAAUACGUAGGGGGCAAGCGUUAUCCGGAUUUACUGGGUGUAAAGGGAGCGUAGACGGUUGCGCAAGUCUGGAGUGAAAGGCGGGGGCCCAACCCCCGGACUGCUUUGGAAACUGUGCGACUGGAGUGCAGGAGAGGUAAGUGGAAUUCCUAGUGUAGCGGUGAAAUGCGUAGAUAUUAGGAGGAACACCAGUGGCGAAGGCGGCUUACUGGACUGUAACUGACGUUGAGGCUCGAAAGCGUGGGGAGCAAACAGGA
rnacentral:rRNA from 1 species